GACGAACGCUGGCGGCGUGCUUAACACAUGCAAGUCGAACGGAAAGGCCCCCUUGUGGGGUACUCGAGUGGCGAACGGGUGGGUAACACGUGAGUAACCUACCCUUGACUUUGGGAUAACUUCAGGAAACUGGGGCUAAUACCGGAUAGGAGCUCCUGCUGCAUGGUGGGGGUUGGAAAGUUUCGGCGGUUGGGGAUGGACUCGCGGCUUAUCAGCUGGUUGGUGGGGUAGUGGGUAACGAAGCCGUUGACGGGUAGCCGGCCUGAGAGGGGGACCGGCCACAUUGGGACUGAGAUACGGCCCAGACUCCUACGGGAGGCAGCAGUGGGGAAUAUUGCACAAUGGGCGGAAGCCUGAUGCAGCAACGCCGCGUGCGGGAUGACGGCCUUCGGGUUGUAAACCGCUUUCGCCUGUGACGAAGCGUGAGUGACGGUAAUGGGUAAAGAAGCACCGGCUAACUACGUG
rnacentral:rRNA from 1 species